ACUGCCCCUAGAAGCAUUGCAGGCGAGGCCAUUGUGUCACAUGUGCAUCAGUAGGUGGCAGAGAGUGACUAGUUUAUACUCAGUGUUCUGACCUGUGAACAUCAGAUGAUUAGUAGCCUAACACA
ensembl:snoRNA LOC120094507 small nucleolar RNA SNORA17